GUGGUAGUACUCUUGGGGUAGACAGGCAUGUGCUGGGAUGGCAUGCCAAGGCAUGUGCUGGGAUGGCAUGCCAAGGACAAGCAUGUGCUAGGAAGGCAUGCCAAGGCCAGGCCAAGGCAAGCACAUGCAUUGUGAGCGAGACGAGACGGUUACGAUUACCCCAAGAGUGCCCAAGGGAGAGGAAGGAGGUGUCAAACGCAUGCUGAGCCCCACUUCGGUAGUUUGGCACCUGUACCAUAGGCAUUCAGGCAAGCGUGCCUAUGGGAAAAGUCGGUUGAGCUUGCCAGCCAUGUUGGGAAUCGGCUAGACGAGAUGAUUGCACAAGGAUGCUUGCUUUAAGGUAACGUUCCGGCAGCACAGCCAGCCCGCAAUUGCUAGUUCAAGCGGGUGGAAUCUGCCUAUAGGGGCGUUGCUAGCUUGCUGUGGAGUUGGGACACGCCUAAUAUCUAUCAUCGACCGCUUUUGUUCCUGCAUGGCCCCAUAGGUAUUUAGGCAAGCAUGCCUAUGGGUAAAGUCCCUCGAGCUUGCCAACCCCCAUAGGCAUUCAGGCAAGCGUGCCUAUGGGGAAAGUCGGUUGAGCUUGCCAGCCAUGUUGGGAAUCGGCUGUACGAGAUGAUUGCACAAGGAUGCUUGCUUUAGGGUAACGUUCUGGCAGCACAGCCAGGCCGCAAUUGCUAGUUCAAGCGGGUGGAAUCUGCCUAUAGGGGCGUUGCUUGCUUGCUGUGGAGUUGGGGCACGCCCAAUAUCUAUCAUCGACCGCUUUUGUUCCUGCAUGGCCCCAUAGGUAUUUAGGCAAGCGUGCCUAUGGGUAAAGUCCCUCGAGCUUGCCAACCCCCAUAGGCAUUCAGGCAAGCGUGCCUAUGGGGAAAGUCGCUUGAGCUUGUCAACCAUGUUGGGUAUCGUUGGACGAGAUGAUAGCACAAGGAUGCUUGCUUUAAGGUAACGUUCUGGCAGCACAGCCAGCCCGCAAUUGCUAGUUCAAGCGGGUGGAAUCUGCCUAUAGGGGUGUUGCUUGCUUGCUGUGGAUUUGGGACACGCCCAAUAUCUAUCAUUGACCUAAUGAAGUGUUCAACAUGGGUUGCUGAGGGCUAUUUUGGCACUGAUGAUUCACUUGUUUGCAUGGCUUUGAUAAACGUUUAGAUGUCAUGAUGCAUAGGAUCCAAUAAAUUUAUGUGGGAAGUUGAGAGCUGGAACCCAAUGUCAUUCACCAGACGGCUUAGCUUCGUCAGUGUGUAUAAUAUGUCAUUGAACCCCAUUCCUCGAUGCCAACCUGAUUAUGACCUUUGGAUCGCAAUUAUCAUGGGUAUCGAAAACUGAGUAGGAGUCAUUGAAUAAGUGAGAAUAAUUUGUAGCCUUUGUAGCUGUCAGCUUUCGCAUCGCCCGGUGUGUUUUGGGAGUCGCUUUGUGCAUUUGGUUGCCUGCCGUGCCUCUUGGCGUACGGUGGGUGCCACUUGCCGGGUGGUUUUUGGAAACAUCCACCGUAAAGGUGCAUGAGUGGUGUUUGGUUUGUUACGGGUGGUUGGCUCUUUGCUUGCGCAACAACUGCCACCUGACUUACCUCUUCAGAUGUUUGCCUAGGCUUCUAUAGCCUAUGCAGAUUGUGGGUUUCCUGUGUUGCCUACCUACGUCACGGAAUUCUCCUGAUUGAUCAAAGUUGCUUUCGUCUUGUGUCGUCUCGAUGGCAUAAGAUGAACAAUGAAGCUGUCUCUUUGCACCGCAUCGUUAAUGCAUGCGUUGAUGUUGUGGCCCAUUGAGCAUUGCUUGGUACCUUGGAUACGGAACCUUAUGUGGGCAUGGGUCCUUGGGGAUCCUUGUUUUGCCCUUGUUUAGCGUUCGCGCUUCUCUUAGAAUGACUGCCCAGCCGGAAUGGUAAAGCCAUUGUGGAUGGGCAUCGUCAAAGAGGAAUGC
rnacentral:misc_RNA from 1 species